UGAGUGGCAAACGGGUGAGUAUAAUGUGGGAAUCUGCCCUCAGGAGGGGGAUAACGGUUGGAAACGACCGCUAAUACCCCAUAUGCCGAGAGGUGAAAUGAAUUUCGCCUGAGGAUGAGCUCGCGUCUGAUUAGCUAGUUGGUGUGGUAAUGGCGCACCAAGGCUUCGAUCAGUAGCUGGUCUGAGAGGAUGAUCAGCCACACUGGGACUGAGACACGGCCCAGACUCC
rnacentral:rRNA from 1 species